CAGAAAGGAGAACAAGAUUGUGUGAUCUGGAUCUUGGAUUUUUUUUCUUUGGCUUUAGUCCUCCUCCUUGAGGAAAAACUCAUGGUAGUGGAAGGCUUCUGGGACCUCAGCAGGGUUCAUCUUGUGAUUGAAACCCUGCCACAAGGAACUUACAAUACAUUGUGGGCCUAUGAUUGGCGCUCAUAGAAGACACCCAUCAAGCUUUGCAUAAUUCUGUUUUGUUACUGUCAAUUAUUGACCUCAGAAAUGCUGACUGAUGAAACUGGAAGCCAUAGAAAAAUGGUCUGAUCUUCUACCUUACCACUAUGCAUGGAUGGGAGUUACAUUUAGUGCAUCUGAAUGAGGAGCAGAGAAGUUGAGGAGCAGUGGCUCUGAGGUAUGCUUGCCUUUUCCACAAUCCCAUUGAAGUGCCUCUGAAGGUACACCACAGACUAGGCUGCUGCUGAUCAGACUAUCUACUCUGACCAGAGAAGAUAAUGAGCAGGUGGCAACUGUCAAAUACUUGGGAAGUGACCUAGACAUUGCUGGAAGAUGCUCAAAAGAUGUGGAUGCUUGUGUUGCAGCUGCCUCUGCCACAUUCCAGGGCCUUCCGCAGCUUUGUGGAGACAUCGGGACAUCACACUUUCUAUGUAUCUGCGGAUUCUCAGAACUACGGUUAUACCAAUUCUAUUGUACAGCAGUGAAAUAUAGGCACCAAGGAAGGCUGAAGAGCGGCAGAUUGACAUUUUUGAUGCUCGUUAUCGUCAGCUGCUCCAUAUUAGGUGGCAGGAAAAGAUGAGCAAUAAGGAUAUUCAUAGCCAAACUCACCAAGUAUCCCCAUCGGCACUGGUUUGCUUUUGGCAACUUUCUGGGUAUGGGCAUAUUGCUAGGAUGACAGACAACUGAAUUACAAAGUGUAUUUUCAAAAGAAUGCCACUACAGGCUUAGUGAUCACCAACAGCUUCCAUGGUGCAAUAAAAUCACCAAUGAUGGCCAUAGACUGACCAUCCAGCUAGAUCAUCUUAAGGAGCUAGCUAGAGAUCAAUCAAAGUAGUGCUCAAUCUGCAAGGAGGCCACUCCCUUUGGGAUCAGCCUUGAUGCUAAUGGGGUCACUAGGGCAUGUAGGGCAAUGCUGCUGUCCAUAGUACUGUUCCCUCACAAACUCAACUGUGACUUCCCUGAGAGAACCGUCGCCACAUGCUGUGAAAAACCCUUUUUCGGAGGGUGGUGAUAGUUACAGUACUGCCAACCCCAAGUAUUCAAAUGAGUGAGGUCGCAACAAAUCAUAAGAGUGGUUUAAAAUCAUAUGAUUUCAUAAAGACCCGAAAUGUAUUUUAUUUGCCUUCUGUUGUUGGAGUGCUUAGGGUUCAUGUUUCCAAGCUUUCCCUCAUAACUAUAAGGGCUAGAAAUUUAGUUUUUAAAAUAAAAGCUGAGAUGCUCACCUAAUUAUCUGAUUGAAGCUGCUGGGGCUAUAAGAAAAGCACCAAAUAGCAUGAGAGUUGGCAAUGCUGUAGUUAGUGGCAACUGGCAUGAGGAAUGUAUGGAAGUGCAUAGAAUGAGGGAGCUAGAGGGCUGUAGGGCUGUGCUUAGGUAAUGGGCCUCUGUGGAUGGGGCUCUCUCUCUCUGUGGGAGGUUCAAGAUCCAUAUAGAAUUCAGAAGACUUGUGUACUUAUAAGGCUGAUUACCUGGCCUGCUCAGGAGGGGACAAACCCCACCUGGGGCAAUUCAGAAGAAACUGUGAAGUACACCUUGUAGAGUUUCUGAUUGGAUUUCUCCACAGAAAGGAAAUAUGACCUUCUUAGUGUCUUCUGGAAGGAAAUACAGCCUUGCAUAUGAGAGAGAGUUUAAUGUUCUCUCAUCUGCAGAGGUCCAGCAAUCUGUUUUACUCUCUCACAACUUAUCUGUCCACUAACUUUCAGCACUGCAGUAUGGUGGCCUUACAGGGAUACAUCCUUACAGUCCUAAGUAAGGAAAUCCUGCCUUAUUCCUUUAGUAUCACAUUCUUUCUUAAUGUUGUUUUCCUUGAGUUCCUAUGUUUACAUCAAUUGAGGUAGUCUCAUAGCAUUACAUGGUCAUAUGGAUACAAUGUGGCCUAGUCGUUAGAGCGGGUGACCGAAAAUCAGUAUUUUAUUCUGGGUUUUAGUUUCAGUUCUGUGACUUUCAGUGUCCCAGGGUUAAGGCUACAAUUCUGUCACUGAAAUUUUUAGUAAAAGUCACGGACAGGUCACGGGCAAUAAACAAAAAUUCAUGGAGGCCUGCGACCUGUCUCUGACUUUUACUAAAAAUACCCUGGGGGAGGGGAGGGUGGACAAACAAAGCACUCUUGGGGCUUGCAGCUGCUCUAGCCCCACCACCACUCCUGCGGCAGGGGCUGACUACUGCUGCUUCAGUCCCCGGGCCGGCCACUGAUCAGCAGUUCUAGCAGCCAGCAAUGGGGCCUUGGGAACAGCUGAUCGUCCAUUGCUGCUCUAGCAGCCCCAGGGCCUGACAGCUGCUGCAGCCCUGCCCAGAAGUAGUCAUGGAGUUCCUGGAAAGUCACGGAAUCUGUGACAGAAUCAUAGCCUCACCCAUGGUACAUCACUGAACCUCUACCCUUCUGUACAAGGGAAUAAUAGUAUCAAUACAUAGAGCUGUCCCGAGGCUUAAAUGAUUAAUGUAUUUUAAAUACUUAGAAAUUCUCAAAUGAAAAGUCUGCUCUAAAUAUAUUUUAUUAUUAUUACCUUCAAUUUCAUAACAAUGGGCAUAACAAUGUACAUCAGCAGUCAGACACCUCUUCUUUCUUCCA